rnacentral:rRNA from 1 species
GACGAACGCUGGCGGCGUGCCUAAUACAUGCAAGUUGAGCGCUGAAGGUUGGUACUUGUACCAACUGGAUGAGCAGCGCACGGGUGAGUAACGCGUGGGGAAUCUGCCUUUGAGCGGGGGACAACAUUUGGAAACGAAUGCUAAUACCGCAUAAAAACUUUAAACACAAGUUUUAAGUUUGAAAGAUGCAAUUGCAUCACUCAAAGAUGAUCCCGCGUUGUAUUAGCUAGUUGGUGAGGUAAAGGCUCACCAAGGCGAUGAUACAUAGCCGACCUGAGAGGGUGAUCGGCCGCAUUGGGACUGAGACACGGCCCAAACGCCUACGGGAGGGAGCAGUAGGGAAACUUCGGCAAGCGACGAAAGGCUGAACGAGCAACGCCGCGGGAGUGAAGAAGGUUUUCGGAUCGGAAAACUCGGUUGGUAGAGAAGAACGUUGGUGAGAGUGGAAAGCUCAUCAAGUGACGGUAACUACCCAGAAAGGGACGGCUAACUACGUG